rnacentral:pre_miRNA from 1 species
AUAUAGGGCAAUCUUUAUCUAUAAGAAAGGAUAAAAUUAUUCUAAAAGAAAUAACUCCUACAUGGUUUUUCCUUUAAGUUGAGCAUUUUAU